GGUACGGGGGGGGGCAAGCGUUGUUCGGAAUUACAUGGGGCGUAAAGGGCUCGUAGGCGGCCAACUAAGUCGGAUCGUGAAAUCCCCAGCUUAACCUGGGAACUGCAUCCGAUACUGGAUGGCUUGAAUUCGGGAGAGGGAUGCAGAAUUCCAGGUGUAGCGGUGAAAUGCGUAGAUAUCUGGAGGAAUACCGGUGGCGAAGGCGGCAUCCUGGACCGACAUUGACGCUGAGGAGCGAAAAGCUAGGGGAGCAAACGGG
rnacentral:rRNA from 1 species